AGUGAACGCUGGCGGUAGGCCUAACACAUGCAAGUCGAACGGCAGCACAGUAAGAGCUUGCUCUUACGGGUGGCGAGUGGCGGACGGGUGAGGAAUACAUCGGAAUCUACUUUUUCGUGGGGGAUAACGUAGGGAAACUUACUCUAAUACCGCAUACGACCUACGGGUGAAAGCAGGGGAUCUUCGGACCUUGCGCGAUUGAAUGGGCCGAUGUCGGAUUAGCUAGUUGGCGGGGUAAAGGCCCACCAAGGCGACGAUCCGUAGCUGGUCUGAGAGGAUGAUCAGCCACACUGGAACUGAGACACGGUCCAGACUCCUACGGGAGGCAGCAGUGGGGAAUAUUGGACAAUGGGCGCAAGCCUGAUCCAGCCAUACCGCGUGGGUGAAGAAGGCCUUCGGGUUGUAAAGCCCUUUUGUUGGGAAAGAAAAGCAGCAGGUUAAUACCCCGCUGUUCUGACGGUACCCAAAGAAUAAGCACCGGCUAACUUCGUG
rnacentral:rRNA from 1 species